CCUACGGGAGGCUGCAGUGGGGAAUAUUGGACAACGGGGGGAACCCUGAUCCAGCCAUGCCGCGUGUGUGAAGAAGGCCCUCGGGUUGUAAAGCACUUUCAGUGAGGAAGAACGCCUGGUGGUUAAUACCCAUCAGGAAAGACAUCACUCACAGAAGAAGCACCGGCUAACUCCGUGCCAGCAGCCGCGGUAAUACGGAGGGUGCGAGCGUUAAUCGGAAUUACUGGGCGUAAAGCGCGCGUAGGUGGCUUGAUAAGCCGGUUGUGAAAGCCCCGGGCUCAACCUGGGAACGGCAUCCGGAACUGUCAAGCUAGAGUGCAGGAGAGGAAGGUAGAAUUCCCGGUGUAGCGGUGAAAUGCGUAGAGAUCGGGAGGAAUACCAGUGGCGAAGGCGGCCUUCUGGACUGACACUGACACUGAGGUGCGAAAGCGUGGGUAGCAAACAGGAUUAGAUACCCCAGUAGUC
rnacentral:rRNA from 1 species